rnacentral:rRNA from 1 species
GGUAUGAAAGGGUUAACGAAGAAGGUGCUGUGUCUAAAAAUUCAAUUUAAACUAACUUUAAGGUGAAGAGGCCUUUAUGUAAAAGAAGGACGACAAGACCCUAUGAAGCUUUAUCUUAAUUGGAGCUCUCAGGCUCUUAUACGAUUUUGAUGGGAGAUCAGUAGAAAGAAGUCUUCUACUAUCAUAUUAAUCUUACUAGUAUUUCCUAACUUUAUAUGUGUGGCUAGCUACUCUAGGGAUAACAGCGCAAUUUCUCCCGAAAGAUGGUAUUGGAGGGGAAGAUUGCGACCUCGAUGUUGGCUUUAGAUAUCCUAGAGGCGUAGAAGCUUCU